rnacentral:rRNA from 1 species
UUGAAAGGGAAACGAUUGAAGUCAGUCGUACCAGCGGGAAUCAACCUUUCGAGUGGGGUUUUGGAGUUUUUUGAAGAGUGUCAAAACCUUUAUUUCAAAAUAUUCGCUCUUUUGGUGUACUUUCUCGUGGGUAGGUUAACAUCGAUUUUGAUCAUCAUAAAAAGAUUGGAGGAAUGUAGCUUCGAUCUUGUAUUGAAGUGUUAUAGCCUUUGGUAAAUGUGAUGAUUAGGAUCGAGUAUUGCAACGAAUACCCUUUUGGGCUAUCCGCCUGAUCUCUGAUACGUGGCCUUGGUAUCGAAAGCGUGCUUAUGGUAUUGAGGUAUUACGGUCAAAAGGUUAGAACGGAUUACAUUCGUUAAGGAUGUUGACGUA